GAUGAACGCUGGCGGCGUGCCUAAUACAUGCAAGUCGAGCGAACGGACGAGAAGCUUGCUUUUCUGAUGUUAGCGGCGGACGGGUGAGUAACACGUGGAUAACCUACCUAUAAGACUGGGAUAACUUCGGGAAACCGGAGCUAAUACCGGAUAAUAUUUUGAACCGCAUGGUUCAAUAGUGAAAGACGGUCUUGCUGUCACUUCUAGAUGGUUCCGCGCUGCAUUAGCUAGUUGGUAAGGUAAAGGCUUACCAAGGCUACGUUGCAUAGCCGACCUGAGAGGGUGGUCGGCCACACUGGAACUGAGACACGGUCCAGACUCCUACGGGAGGCAGCAGUAGGGAAUCUUCCGCAAUGGGCGAAAGCCUGACGGAGCAACGCCGCGUGAGUGAUGAAGGUCUUCGGAUCGUAAAACUCUGUUAUUAGGGAAGAACAUAUGUGUAAGUAACUGUGCGCGUCUUGACGGUACCUAAUCAGAAAGCCACGGCUAACUACGUG
rnacentral:rRNA from 1 species